UACGGAGGGUGCAAGCGUUAUCCGGAUUACUGGGUUUAAAGGGUGCGUAGGUGGGUCUGUAAGUCAGUGGUGAAAUCUCCGAGCUUAACUCGGAAACUGCCAUUGAUACUAUUUGUCUUGAAUAUUGUGGAGGUCAGCGGAAUAUGUCAUGUAGCGGUGAAAUGCUUAGAUAUGACAUAGAACACCAAUUGCGAAGGCAGCUGGCUACACAUAUAUUGACACUGAUGCACGAAAGCGUGGGGGAUCAAACAGG
rnacentral:rRNA from 1 species